rnacentral:rRNA from 1 species
UACAGAGGGGGCAAGCGUUAAUCGGAAUUACUGGGCGUAAAGCGUGCGCAGGCGGUUAUGUAAGACAGGGGUGAAAUCCCCGGGCUUAACCUGGGAACUGCAUUUGUGACUGCAUAGCUAGAGUACGGUAGAGGGGGAUGGAAUUCCGCGUGUAGCAGUGAAAUGCGUAGAUAUGCGGAGGAACACCGAUGGCGAAGGCAAUCCCCUGGACCUGUACUGACGCUCAUGCACGAAAGCGUGGGGAGCAAACAGG